GGUCUGAGCGGAACUAAGGAUCGCGACAGGGUCCACACGGUGCCCGGGCGCCGCCCGCACGCCGGCGGGCGUUCUGCCACCGGCGUUUCACAGACGAGCAACGGGCACAGUUCUGGGCUGUGUUACGGGGUUGACGAGAUUGUGAUAGGUUAAAGGAAUGUGGGGGGAACACGCAGACCACAGGGGCAGGGGAUCCCGUAAAUAGGCCUGGCCGGAAAACAGUUGGCUGUGAAGGAGACCACACCUGAUACUGUGCGUGCGUGUGCGUGCGCGUGUGAUCACGGAAGUCUAGAUUUUUAUUCUAGCUCGUUGCCCACGGCACGUCACACCUAUAUGGUGUGUAACUGGUAUUUUUUAAAGGAAAAGACCAGGGUGUGUCUACGAGCUGGCCAGCUGGCCGGGAGCGCUUCGGGGACUGGUGGAUGAGGGCGCGAUCUCCAGCUGGGCACGGUGGCACACGCCUGUGACACCAGUGAGGCCACCCUCAGCGACUUGGCAAGGCCAGGUCUCAAAAUAAAAAGAGGCGGGUUGUGCUCAGCAGUGGAACUCCCGGGGCCCAUCCCCGGGGACGCACCUGCACACCUCAGGAAGUCCCCGUGGAGAACGCGUGGCAAUCAGCUUUAGGAAGAGCGGAUGCGGAUGCAGGCAUCAACCCAGAAUGUACAUCUGAAGGAUGUCAAUUGGAAAUUGGGAAGUGAAGCGACAGCUUGGAUUAGAAGUCUGAAGCGUGGAGUGCAGAGGGAGAAAGAGCAGCUGCCAGUCUCCCUGCCGCCCAACCGCCCGACCACCUUGCCGCGCUCCUCCAAUCUCAUACCUCUUUGAGGGCAGAAUCUCUCCUUCUACAGAAUGUGGUUGCGAAUUUCUCUUCAUCCUUCAAAAAUGAGUUGAAGAAAAAGAAUAAUUAAAAACAUUUUUUAUUUCA